GGAGAACUCAGAAGCAAAAGACGAAGGAAGGUUAGGGUUACGUUUGCGUUCUGUGGAUGGCAGUUCGAUCAGUGUUCGAUGCAGCCGCGCUUAGGGUGGAAUUUGACAACGCUGGAAUCAACACUCACUUCAUCCCUCUCAUUUGGAAGUUUGUGAUUCAGAACCCCAACUGUGAAUGGGGCGAAAUUCCAUCCUUGCCAUCGGCGGCUUACGCAGUUCUUCGAUCAAAGUUCAGGCCUUCCACUUCUGCUCUUCACUCCGUCUUCCAUUCCACGGACCAGGUCACUACCAAGCUUCUUAUUCGGUUGCAGAAUGGCGAAUUUGUGGAAGCUGUGAUAAUGAGGUAUGACACUCGUUUGGGAAAAUAUGGUGGGCAACCUCGUGCUGGUGGCCCAAGGUCAACAUUGUGCAUAUCUUCUCAGGUUGGAUGUAAAAUGGGUUGCAAAUUUUGUGCAACUGGUAGCAUGGGUUUUAAAAACAAUCUAUCUUCAGGAGAAAUUAUGGAACAAUUGGUGCAUGCCUCUCGCUUAUCACCAAUACGCAAUGUUGUCUUCAUGGGAAUGGGGGAACCGCUGAAUAAUUAUACUUCCUUAGUAGAGGCUAUUCGAGUUAUGAUUGGAUCUCCAUUCCAGCUAUCACCAAGGCGAAUUACCGUGUCAACCGUUGGAAUUACUCAUGCCAUCAAGAAGCUGCAUGGAGACAUACCAAACUUGAACCUAGCAGUCUCUCUGCAUGCACCAGUUCAAGAUAUCCGUUGUCAGAUAAUGCCUGCAGCUCGGGCUUUUCCUUUGGAAAGACUGAUGGAGACUCUGCAUGAAUAUCAAAAGAGCAGUCAGCAAAAAAUAUUUAUUGAGUACAUUAUGCUUGAUGGGGUGAAUGAUGAAGAGCAGCUUGCACACCAGCUUGGCAAAUUGUUGGAGACAUUUGAAGUGGUUGUCAACUUGAUACCUUUCAACCCAAUUGGUAGUUUGAGUCAUUUUAGAACCAGCAGUGAGGAAAAGGUUACCAAAUUCCAGAAAAUACUUAGGGGAACCUAUAAUAUACGGACGACAAUUCGUAAGCAGAUGGGUCAAGAUAUAAGUGGUGCAUGCGGUCAGCUAGUGGUUAAGCUACCUGAUAAGAGUUAUACUGGCAGCCCAAAUCUGUUGACUGACAUUGAAGAUCUUAGUCUAUAGUAUAACCAGUUUUCAGCUUAAGAGGCUGAGGAUCAUGCUUAAAUACAAACAUCUGCACCAAAUGCCAUGAAUUUUGCCAAUUUUGUUGUAAAUUCAUUGUUUAGAGGGCCAGAUGGAUCCUCUGCUGGUUUGAAGUUGAAGAUUUCCUGAAGGUGUUCAUUUUUCUGCUCGUAGAAUCAAAGAUAUUAACUAGGUAUAAUCUACACUGUAAGAAUUGGUCACUAUUCCAUUUUUUCUUCUUCUUAAUGUUCUUUAGAGUUCAACUCAUAGCAAGAGAUAGAGAUAAAGUGAGAUAGCUGACAUAUUUUAGCUGCAAGGAAUACACUGCUUAUUGUCUUUAUAUUGAGUUGAGUUGAGUUGUGCUGAGUAGAUUUGUAAUAAUACCACUAUAUAUCUCUUGUAACUUUCUCUCUUUUAUCUCCUCUCAAUGGAUUUUUUUCAAUUUUAUUGUAUUUUCAAUCAUCAGGGACAUGUAAUGAGAUUAAUGGUUAAUUAGGAGGAGAAAACCAGCCAUCAUGUAGGUUUCAAAACCUGUUCCCAGAAAUUGCCUUAGAAACAUUACCUGUUACGAAUUUGGAAAGAUCAUAAGAUAACUUAGAACACUCUAAAUCCCCCCCACAAGUAGACAAUUGGAAUAAUAAGUAACCCAGAAAACACACCUGCUUUAACUGCGUCAAUGUUGACAACAUUAGGCUAUGGCCACAAAUGUCCAUGCGCAUUUCCAGUUUACAUUCAUCCUGAAACAAAUGAAUUUUGAACGAGUAUACCGAAGCAAAGAGACUCAUGCUGGAUGUAUAAACCAACAUGUACGGAUUAAAUCGUUCCCUCAAAAAGCUUCAAAAUUUCCCAUUUUGAGUUGCAUUCUUGCCUUACUUGAUCAAUGAUUUUGUCCUUCCAUUCUUGCGGGGACAAAUAGGUACAAGCUUCACUUGAGAAGGUCUCGACCCUGCCCUUCUUGAAGAUAGAUUUCUCCUCAACUUCUAGCAGCUCGAUAAUCAAUUCCCAUCGACGGUGACGGAGUUGCGGAGAACUUCUCUUCCGUCUCCACUGCCAAAGACGACGUCAAGUUCGGGUUCCGGUGGUCGGAGAUGUACCAGAGCAACCUCGCUGGCACCGUGGAUCCACACGACCGCGCC